rnacentral:rRNA from 1 species
GGUCCUACGGGGGGCAGCAGUGGGGAAUAUUGCACAAUGGGGGAAACCCUGAUGCAGCGACGCCGCGUGAAGGAAGAAGGCUUUCGGGUUGUAAACUUCUUUUGUCAGGGACGAAGCAAGUGACGGUACCUGACGAAUAAGCCACGGCUAACUACGUGCCAGCAGCCGCGGUAAUACGCAGGUGGCAAGCGUUAUCCGGAUUUAUUGGGCGUAAAGCGAGUGCAGGCGGUUCAAUAAGGCUGAUGUGAAAGCCUU